UAGUUUGAUCCUGGCUCAGGAUGAAAGGUAGAUAGGCUUAACACAUGCAAGUCGAGGGGCAUCACGAAUUAAAAUAAGUUUGGUGGCGACCGGCGCACGGGUGCGUAACACGUAUACAACCUACCUUCAAUUGGGGGAUAACCUGGAUUCUCUCAAAGAUAAUACCCCAUAGUAAACGGAAGAGGCAUCUUUUUUGUUUUAAAGAUUUAUUGAUUGGAGAUGGGUAUGCGUAGGAUUAGCUAG
rnacentral:rRNA from 1 species